GAUGAACGCUGGCGGUAGGCCUAACACAUGCAAGUCGAACGGCAGCACAGAGGAGCUUGCUCCUUGGGUGGCGAGUGGCGGACGGGUGAGGAAUACAUCGGAAUCUACUCUGUCGUGGGGGAUAACGUAGGGAAACUUACGCUAAUACCGCAUACGACCUACGGGUGGAAGCAGGGGGCCUUCGGGCCUUGCGCGAUUGAAUGAGCCGAUGUCGGAUUAGCUAGUUGGCGGGGUAAAGGCCCACCAAGGCGACGAUCCGUAGCUGGUCUGAGAGGAUGAUCAGCCACACUGGAACUGAGACACGGUCCAGACUCCUACGGGAGGCAGCAGUGGGGAAUAUUGGACAAUGGGCGCAAGCCUGAUCCAGCCAUACCGCGUGGGUGAAGAAGGCCUUCGGGUUGUAAAGCCCUUUUGUUGGGAAAGAAAUCCAGCUGGCUAAUACCCGGUUGGGAUGACGGUACCCAAAGAAUAAGCACCGGCUAACUUCGUGCCAGCCGCCGCAGUAA
rnacentral:rRNA from 1 species